rnacentral:rRNA from 1 species
UACGUAGGGGGCGAGCGUUGUCCGGAUUUAUUGGGCGUAAAACGCUUGUAGGUGGCUACGUCAAGUCGGACGUGAAAUCUCCCGGCUUAACUGGGAGGGGUCGCUCGAUACUGGCGAGCUCGAGGCAGGUAGGGGGAAGCGGAAUUCCCGGUGUAGUGGUGGAAUGCGUAGAUAUUGGGAGGAACACCAGUGGCGAAGGCGGCUCACUGGACCGGAACUGACGCUGAGGCGCGAAAGCCAGGGGAGCAAACGGG